UAAAUAUUUGUAUCACUUACAGAACCACCAUCUGAGCCGCCAUGAUUAGAGUCAUCAUGUUGUGAGCUUUUCUGUAAUAAAGAAAAUUAUUUGAAAAGCCAAUUCCAUAAUUUUCAAUUUCCGGAAACGAGAAAAAAUUAGAACAAAAACAAUGGAUUAAUGAAAAAAAUACUAAAAAAGCAUGUAUAAUCUGUAAGUUAAUAUAAUCUGUAAAGUAUAAUCUGUAAGUUUCUGAAACUAUUGUUUAAUUUUCAAAUAAGUUGAGCAAACUGAGUAAUAUUGUUCUGUUGCAGUGAUGUCCAUAAGGGACCACUUUUUAUGUACCUAUAUGUAGAUACUACAAUCACUUUCAAUUUAUCAAAUUACUAUGAAAUUGCAAAAAGAGAAGUAAAGGUAUCAUAGAUAUUUGUAUCACUUACAGAACCACCAUCUGAGCCGCCAUCAUUAGAGUCAUCAUGUUGUGAGCUUUUCUGUAAUAAAGAAAAAUAUUUGAAAAGCCAAUUCCAUAAUUAUUUUCAAUUUCCGGAAACGAGAAAGAAUUUGAACAAAAACAAUGGAUUAAUGAAAAAAAAUACUAAAAAAGCAUGUAUAAUCUGUUAAUAUAAUCUGCAUAAUCUAACCACCAUCUGAGCCGCCAUGAUUAGAGUCAUCAUGUUGUGAGCUUUUCUGUUAUAAAGAAAAUUAUUUGAAAAGCCAAUUCCAUAAUUUUCAAUUUCCGGAAACGAGAAAGAAUUAGAACAAAAACAAUGGAUUAAUGAAAAAAAUACUAAAAAAGCAUGUAUAAUCUGUAAGUUAAUAUAAUCUGUAAAGUAUAAUCUGUAAGUUUCUGAAA